UCAAAACUCAGUCUGUGAAAUUUCUGGGGAAAACCCUUUUGUGUCCUGAAGGGUUCAAACUCUGUUGAGGAUCCAGUUAUCAGUUGCUCACCUGGAUGGUUCCAGAUCCCAAAGGGAAAGACUCUCGUAUCCUUGUCUUCAGGCUCGGUGCUGUCCACGAAGAUACGGAGACUAAAAAAAUCAUAAGAAGCAAAAUAUGACUGCAGGGAAAACAAGCUGGAGAGAACAAAAGACUCAUCACGGCGGGACAGCGUGAAGACUGAAAGUGUGAGAAGAUGUGGAGGGGAACAGAGAAUCUGAUGGGAGCAGCGAACGAGCAUGAGUGCAGGAGUUUUGCUUUUUGCUUGGAUGUAAACUCAGGGGUUGAAAGGAAUUUGGGAGUGAGAAGGGACAUUUCAGAAGGAGAAGAAGAAAAAGAGGUUGUUGUUGUUGUUACAGUCCUGGCAAAAUCUUUUG